GACGAACGCUGGCGGCGUGCUUAACACAUGCAAGUCGAACGGAAAGGCCCUGCUUUUGUGGGGUGCUCGAGUGGCGAACGGGUGAGUAACACGUGAGUAACCUGCCCUUGACUUUGGGAUAACUUCAGGAAACUGGGGCUAAUACCGGAUAGGAGCUCCUGCUGCAUGGUGGGGGUUGGAAAGUUUCGGAGGUUGGGGAUGGACUCGCGGCUUAUCAGCUUGUUGGUGGGGUAGUGGCUUACCAAGGCUUUGACGGGUAGCCGGCCUGAGAGGGUGACCGGCCACAUUGGGACUGAGAUACGGCCCAGACUCCUACGGGAGGCAGAAGUGGGGAAUAUUGCACAAUGGGCGGAAGCCUGAUGCAGCAACGCCGCGUGCGGGAUGACGGCCUUCGGGUUGUAAACCGCUUUCGCCUGUGACGAAGCGUGAGUGACGGUAAUGGGUAAAGAAGCACCGGCUAACUACGUG
rnacentral:rRNA from 1 species